UCUACUUUUUUAUUUAGUGUUAUGUGACAUGUUAUUAUUGAUUAUCUAAGUUAUUUAUUGAAUCAUGCUAUUGUUUUAGGCCUGGAAGAUGAGAAGAAAUAAGACACCAGGAAAUAUGAUCAGUGAUAUGUCUGAGUUAUGUCAAGAAAUAUUUAUAUAUAUUUAUUUGAUAUUUUUUUAUGAGUCAAUAAGCACUAUUUCUUCUGUAUCAACGGAUGAAAUAAACUUCUGAAUCAGAAGAAUUGAUUUGAUGUGUUUAUAAAUAGAAGAAGAUAAUUAUCCACUCAAGAGGGGAGUAUUCUUCUUUGGUAAAUGAAAAUACACAAAAAAAAAGUAAUCUUGAAACAUAAAAUUGAAUAACAGGCGUCUAGUGCAGUGAAAAGCGCUUGCAAAUGAAAAAGAAGAAGAAGAAGAAGAAGCUUUAAGAUAAAUUUCUUUUAAUCCGGCCGCUUAUAAGUGCCCCAAAGAUCAUACCCUUACAUUCUAAUAAUCUUUAUCUAAUCUCGGAAGAUAGUAAUAAAACAUGUCAUUUAAAUUAUGUUAAAUAACAUAUUAGUUAUUUAUCUUCCUCAAAUGAGAUACUAGUUUUUUAUAAGAGGGAAGAAUUUUUGUUAUCUAGUCAAUUAGGUCUGUGUUGACUCUACGAGACCUAGAGGAUAAUAAAAAUGUUUUUUUGGUAAAACAAA